UACGUAGGGGGCAAGCGUUGUCCGGAUUUAUUGGGCGUAAAGAGCGUGUAGGCGGCCAUACAGGUCAGCUGUGAAAACUCGAGGCUCAACCUCGAGACGUCGGUUGAAACCGUAUGGCUAGAGUCCGGAAGAGGAGAGUGGAAUUCCCGGUGUAGCGGUGAAAUGCGCAGAUAUCGGGAAGAACACCCGUGGCGAAGGCGGCUCUCUGGGGACGGUACUGACGCUGAGACGCGAAAGCGUGGGGAGCGAACGAGG
rnacentral:rRNA from 1 species